UACGGAAGGCAGCAGUGGGGAAUAUUGCACAAUGGGCGAAAGCCUGAUGCAGCUAUGCCGCGUGUAUGAAGAAGGCCUUAGGGUUGUAAAGUACUUUCAUCGGGGAGGAAAAAACAAAACUAAUAAUUUUAUUUUCUUGACGUUACCCGAAAAACGAAAGCACCGGCUAACUCCGUGCCAGCAGCCGCGGUAAUACGGAGGGUGCUAGCGUUAAUCAGAAUUACCGGGCGUAAAGAGCACGUAGGUGGUUUUUUCUAAGUCAGAUGUGAAAUCCCUGGGCUUAACCUAGGAACUGCAUUUUGAAACUGAAAUACUAGAGUAUCGUAGAGGGAGGUAGAAUUCUAGGUGUAGCGGUGAAAUGCGUAGAUAUCUGGAGGAAUACCUGUGGCGAAAGCGGCCUCCUAAACCGAAUACUGACACUGAGGUGCGAAAGCGUGGGGAGCAAACAGGGAUUAGAUA
rnacentral:rRNA from 1 species